rnacentral:rRNA from 1 species
GCAAGUCGAGCGCGCCCUUCGGGGUGAGCGGCGGACGGGUGAGUAACGCGUGGGAAUGUACCCAGAUCUACGGAAUAGCCUCGGGAAACUGAGAGUAAUACCGUAUACGCCCUUCGGGGGAAAGAUUUAUCGGAUUUGGAUCAGCCCGCGUUAGAUUAGGUAGUUGGUGGGGUAAUGGCCUACCAAGCCUACGAUCUAUAGCUGGUUUGAGAGGAUGAUC